rnacentral:piRNA from 1 species
UGCUGUUAGCAUAGAUUAAUG